GGACUACCGGGGUAUCUAAUCCCGUUUGCUCCCCUAGCUUUCGCGCCUCAGCGUCAGUGUCGGUCCAGGAAGCCGCCUUCGCCACCGGUGUUCCUCCGGAUAUCUACGCAUUUCACCGCUACACCCGGAAUUCCGCUUCCCUCUCCCGAACUCAAGCCCGACAGUUUCCCGCGCCAUUCCCCAGUUGAGCCGGGGGCUUUCACGCGGGACUUGUCGAACCGCCUACGCGCCCUUUACGCCCAGUAAUUCCGAACAACGCUUGCCACCUCUGUAUUACCGCGGCUGCUGGCAC
rnacentral:rRNA from 1 species